rnacentral:rRNA from 1 species
GCUUGUCUCAAAGAUUAAGCCAUGCAUGUCUAAGUACAAGCCUCAGUAAGGUGAAACCGCGAAUGGCUCAUUAAAUCACACCUAAUCUACUGGAAAGUUACUAGUUACUUGGAUAACUGAGGUAAUUCUUGAGCUAAUACAUGCUAAAAACCCCGACUUCGGAAGGGGUGUAUUUAUUAGAUACAAAACCAAUGCCCUUCGGGGCUCCUUGGUGAUUCAUGAUAACUAUACGAAUCGCACGGCCUUGCGCCGGCGAUGGUUCAUUCAAAUUUCUUCCCUAUCAACUUUCGAUGUUUGGGUAUUGGCCAAACAUGGUUGCAACGGGUAACGGAGGGUUAGGGCUCGACCCCGGAGAAGGAGCCUGAGAAACGGCUACUACAUCCAAGGAAGGCAGCAGG